rnacentral:rRNA from 1 species
AUUGAACGCUGGCGGCAUGCCUUACACAUGCAAGUCGAACGGCAACGCGGGGCAACCUGGCGACGAGUGGCGAACGGGUGAGUAACGCAUCGGAACGUGCCCAGUAGUGGGGGAUAGCCCGGCGAAAGCCGGAUUAAUACCGCAUACGACCUACGGGUGAAAGCGGGGGACCGCAAGGCCUCGCGCUAUUGGAGCGGCCGAUGUCAGAUUAGGUUGUUGGUGGGGUAAUGGCCCACCAAGCCGACGAUCUGUAGCUGGUCUGAGAGGACGACCAGCCACACUGGGACUGAGACACGGCCCAGACUCCUACGGGAGGCAGCAGUGGGGAAUUUUGGACAAUGGGGGCAACCCUGAUCCAGCCAUGCCGCGUGCGGGAAGAAGGCCUUCGGGUUGUAAACCGCUUUUGUCGGGGAAGAAACGCUCUGAGCUAAUACCUCGGGGUAAUGACGGUACCUGAAGAAUAAGCACCGGCUAACUACGUGCCAGCCGCCGCAGAAACAC